UACGUAAGUGGCAAGCGUUGUCCGGAUUUACUGGGCGUAAAGAGCGCGCAGGCGGUCGUUCAAGUCGCGUGUGAAAGCCCCCGGCUCAACUGGGGAGGGUCACGCGAUACUGAUCGACUGGGAGGCAGGAGAGGGUAGUGGAAUUCCCGGUGUAGUGGUGAAAUGCGUAGAUAUCGGGAGGAACACCAGUGGCGAAGGCGACUACCUGGCCUGUUCUUGACGCUGAGGCGCGAAAGCUAGGGGAGCAAACGGG
rnacentral:rRNA from 1 species